CUUCAGUGAUGAGACGAUGACGAGUCGGAAUGGGACACAAGUCUGUCUCUGGGGUCACUGGGUCAGGGUCACGUUCUGUGUCUCUGGGUUCAGCUCCCCAGAGCAGUGUGUCUUUUCAAUUGAAGACAUCGAGGCAUUUGUCUGAGAAGG